CUGAAGAAUAGCGCAGUGUAUGUG
rnacentral:misc_RNA from 1 species